GAAGACAUUUAUGGUUAUUGGGGAUAAACACGACCUUCAGUAGUAGAAAAAGGCGCGAUUCUAUUAGACAGACUUGGAUGCCUCAAGGUGCAAAGCUACAUAGAUUAGAGCAAGAAAAGGGGAUUGUUGGGCGUUUCAUGAUAGGCUACAAGUAUGAUCUGCAUUGUUCUAUAUCUUCUUCAUGCCAAAUAUAUAGAUGCUCAUUCAUCAAUGAGUUUCUGCUGGAGUCUCAUAUUGUUUCUUGCCAAAAGAGUGAUAAUAUGCUUCAUGUUCUUUGUUUUAAAUAUCCUCUGCUUCACUUAUAAGUUGAAUGUAUGAUUAGCUUUUCAAGAGAUAUACGAAGGAAAUUAUCAUUUAGAAGCUUUGUUAAGAGUUAGUAAUUCACUACUAAA